rnacentral:sRNA from 1 species
UUUUUUUUUGAAUUUUGUGAAUUAUAUAACGGUAAAUAUGGGCCAUGAGGAUGAUAAGAUGGAAGAAACCCAUGUGCAUCAUCAUGGGUUUCUUCCAUCUUCUGCUUGUCGUCGAUGAUUAGUAGUCGUGUUCUUCUGAUGUUGGUUUGAUUAAAUGGAAUUUGAGAGAAUUUUAUA